rnacentral:lncRNA from 1 species
AGGCCAUAAAUGUGGUAUUUAUAUUUGACAGAUUGUUAAACUCCUACUGGUUCGUCGAAAUUGUGUCGCCUGUGUGCUGUGUAUACGUUCGACUGAACGAUCAAGUAAAGUUUGUAAACACAAAGAGGGCGCCACGAGCGCGCAACCGAAAAUGGACGAUCGAGUAUUGUUCACCUAUACACGACUACACACGUCGACGUUCAACGAGUAACCGAGAAAACCGAACUGUGGCUGCAGAUAUGCUAUACGAUCCGAUGGUAUUGUAACGAUAAUUGUGAAAAUUGAAGAGUCUCGCUUGAGCCCGUGGAGUGAGUGAAGUUUUACGUCAGUGUAUACGUCUCGUGGUUCGAUAUGCUCGGACAGCUCGGCGAAACUUGUUUCUGUCGAUACUCUCCCAUUGUAGUUAUACCUCAUACACGUAUAUCUCACGUUUUAUACACGUAUAUAAAUUACAAGUAUAUAUGCAAUCGUAAUGGAGAAUCGGCGGAGAGAAAACUAUUCUCGAUCUCCACUGCGGAACGAUUGCUAUCAGACUUUGCUCUCUGUGUGUCGGCGUCCACACGAUGUACUCUGAUCACCGCUCCGCAGCACCUUCAAUUCUCCUUUUCUGUACGUCAAACUUUUUCAACUAUCCUCUCUAACUCGAGUCCACAUCGCGAUGAACCAAUUGAAAAAUAAUAAUCGCAAAUUAAAUACGAAAGUGAUCAUAAUAAUUGAGUUAAUAGUUACAAUGAUCGAGUUUUCAGUGAAAAUGAAAAACUUUCCAAUUUCCCAACGUCUCUCACCGAGCCACGAUUUAUAUUCGACGUUUAUUUCCGUCUCUUGAAAGAAAAUCGAAAAUCCACGAGCCUGUCUACGAUUUUUCCACGAGGCUUUUUUCAACGUGACUGAACACUGAUAUAAUAUAUGUCGUAAAAGAAGCCAAAGCGUAAACGGAAAAUCGAGCGUCGGUCGAGGGCUCCCUCACGAAAACUUGUCGGUCGAUGAUUACUUCGUCACAGCGAGGCUUCAUGAUGCUAUCGCGGGCGUUUUUUCUCCCACACCGGAGGAUCCGAAGCAUUUUCGUCACGCCACGAAAUGAUCUUUCGAUGAUGGAGAAUCGUCCACAGUUUCAAGAGGAAAAAAACACUCGAACAGCGCAAAAAAUGUCAUGCCAAGCGAAAACCUUUUGUCGUUAGAAGGCUAGAGGUUCGCAUCGUCCAAGAGGUGAACAAAAGGGCUCGUUUCCGAGUACAUUAUUAUCUCGGAGAAGGAGAAAAAAAUGUGGAAGAAAAUAGGGAGCGAAAAUUUGAUUCGUACGAUGGGACUCGCGAUUUUGCGCUGGAAAUAUGGCGCAGCGAAAGACUCGAAAAUACAUACUU